rnacentral:rRNA from 1 species
UUAAAUUGAAGAGUUUGAUCAUGGCUCAGAUUGAACGCUGGCGGCAGGCCUAACACAUGCAAGUCGAACGGUAACAGAAAGCAGCUUGCUGCUUUGCUGACGAGUGGCGGACGGGUGAGUAAUGUCUGGGAAACUGCCUGAUGGAGGGGGAUAACUACUGGAAACGGUAGCUAAUACCGCAUAACGUCGCAAGACCAAAGAGGGGGACCUUCGGGCCUCUUGCCAUCGGAUGUGCCCAGAUGGGAUUAGCUAGUAGGUGGGGUAACGGCUCACCUAGGCGACGAUCCCUAGCUGGUCKGAGAGGAUGACCAGCCACACGGNAACUGAGACACGGUCCAGACUCCUACGGGAGGCAGCAGUGGGGAAUAUUGCACAAUGGGCGCAAGCCUGAUGCAGCCAUGCCGCGUGUAUGAAGAAGGC